rnacentral:piRNA from 1 species
GGGUAGCCUCUUCCCUGGGACUUUCAUAGU